CUCCUCACACAGGGUACAAACCAAGAUCAACAUGUGUGAAUAUGUAGCAAGCAUCCCCCGAACUGGUCCAAAACUGGGCUUUUUAAAGAGCCCAGCCAGCUUGGCCCAGGGGUUGGAGCUUCGGGUCCCAAUCCUAUCUGGAAAACAAACACACACACACACGCGUAAUCCCCGAAUUGGAAACAUUAUACGAACCCAGAUUUCUGGGGACGUAACAGACGGGUUCCUCAAAACUGUUAGUGUUUCCACACCACUUAGCAUGAACAUAUGCUGACCUUUCUGCUCUACAUCUAUCGAUUGAGUAAGUUACAUUCAUAUAUGUUACCCUUUUACAUGUCAUGGCAAAACAUUCAACCUCAGUGACACAAGGGUACAUCUGAUGAUACAUUGUCAACAUUGCAUGUAUGUCAGACUCAUCCAAGAUUGUCUGGUGGAAUGGAGAAAGAGGCACCACUGUACAGUUUUCUAGGGAAAGUCGUUCUGCUGACACCAAAACACUGCUUUACAUAAAGCAUAUCAGCUGUUUCAAAGUCCCAACCAUUUGUCUUCCUAAAAUACUGGUCCUUCUGUAUAACAAUAACCUCGUAUGUGAUUGGAGGACCCUUAGACUCCUCGUCCAAUCACGUGUGAGGUCAUAGGCAUGACUGAUACAGCAGUACUUGCAAGACGAGCAUACAAACAGACACGUGUGUUACUAUAUUCAGAAGAACUGUAUCUCCAGUUCCUUUGUUUGGUUUUUGCUGGUUCGUGAAUAAUGGCUGGACGACGUCUCGUGUUCAACUCGCCUUCAACUCCUCUCCGCGCUCACCAACUUUCGGCCAGUCCGCAGACAGACGAGAAGAAACUGCUGAAUGCUCUCAGUGGAUCGUCUCGUCAACUCCAACAACAAACUGCUGAUAUCAACGAGCGGUUCGCUCCACUGGAGCGUUCAGGACUCUCCAGGUUUCUGUCCAUAGAGGAGAGGAUGGCGGCUCUGGAGGAACUGACUCAAAGAAGAGGAGACGGGCGCACAAUCCCAAGAUAGCGGAAGCGGUGCGCCGUCUUCACAACUCCGAGACAAAUAACAGGCGCUACGAACCGGAGCAAUGACUAAUCUCGCCUCAUAAUGAGGCGGUGACCUCGUAUUUGCUCCGGGAAAAGUCGAGAUUUAGACGACGUCAUUGUGUCCGCCUGUGAGACGUAUUUUGAGACGGUACGCAGGAGCUUCAGGUUUUCCCAGCCGGAACACUCAUUGCGGGCGGAAGCUGCGAAGAAUUCAGCGCGAAGUCGAGCGAGAAGAAAGAGGGUUUAUUUGCUGACUUUUUUUCAGCUGCUGGAAUCGAGACAAAGUGUGCUGGCUGAUGACGAGGUGGAACUCUGGAAAUCCGCCACCGUAGAGCUCACGUCGGACGAAGAGGAUGGCGUUGUUUGCGGGGUCUCGGGGUCUCGCCGCCAUUUCUGAGUGCAGUCCUGGUUAGAGGCGACUCAGAAAAACAGAGCCACACACACUAGGCGCCUGCACAACAGACCUGCCUCGGAAAACACGCCGCCAGUGACAGUCUACAACCCCGAGGAGGCAAACGAACAGUUUACUGAGCUGUAGUUUUUUAAACCGCCUUUACCCAAGUGUGGGCAGAUCCUCACUUUGUAUGUAGUUGUUGUUUGUGUGUUGUUAAUAAAG
ensembl:lncRNA